AGCCUAGGGAAACCUGGAUUAAUACCUGAUGACGCGAAGGAGUCACAUGGCUUCUUCGCCAAAGAUUUAUCGGUAUGGGAUGGACCUGCGUCUGAUUAGCUAGUUGGUGGGGUAACGGCUCACCAAGGCAACGAUCAGUAGCCGACCUGAGAGGGUAAUCGGCCACAUUGGAACUGAGACACGGUCCAAACUCCUACGGGAGGCAGCAGUGGGGAAUAUUGCACAAUGGGCGCAAGCCUGAUGCAGCAACGCCGCGUGAGCGAAGAAGGUCUUCGGAUCGUAAAGCUCUGUCCUUGGGGAAGAAACAAAUGACGGUACCCAGGGAGGAAGCCCCGGCUAACUACGUGCCAGCAGCCGCGGUAAUACGUAGGGGGCGAGCGUUAUCCGGAAUUAUUGGGCGUAAAGAGUACGUAGGUGGUUUUGUAAGCGUGUGGUGAAAGACCGGGGCUUAACUCCGGUUAGCCAUGCGAACUGCAAGACUUGAGUGCAGGAGAGGAAAGUGGAAUUCCUAGUGUAGCGGUGAAAUGCGUAGAUAUUAGGAGGAACAUCAGUGGCGAAGGCGACUUUCUGGACUGUAACUGACACUGAGGUACGAAAGCGUGGGUAGCAAACAGGAUUAGAUACCCUGGUAGUCCACGCCGUAAACGAUG
rnacentral:rRNA from 1 species